UGGCGGCGUGCUUAACACAUGCAAGUCGAACGAUGAACCACUUCGGUGGGGAUUAGUGGCGAACGGGUGAGUAACACGUGGGCAAUCUGCCCUGCACUCUGGGACAAGCCCUGGAAACGGGGUCUAAUACCGGAUACUGAUCAUCUUGGGCAUCCAAGGUGUUCGAAAGCUCCGGCGGUGCAGGAUCAGCCCGCGGCCUAUCAGCUUGUUGGUGAGGUAGUGGCUCACCAAGGCGACGACGGGUAGCCGGCCUGAGAGGGCGACCGGCCACACUGGGACUGAGACACGGCCCAGACUCCUACCCGAGGCAGCAGUGGGGAAUAUUGCACAAUGGGCGAAAGCCUGAUGCAGCGACGCCGCGUGAGGGAUGACGGCCUUCGGGUUGUAAACCUCUUUCAGCAGGGAAGAAGCGAAAGUGACGGUACCUGCAGAAGAAGCGCCGGCUAACUACGUGCCAGCAGCCGCGGUAAUACGUAGGGCGCGAGCGUUGUCCGGAAUUAUUGGGCGUAAAGAGCAGGUAGGCGGCUUGUCACGUCGGUUGUGAAAGCCCGGGGCUUAACCCCGGGUCUGCAGUCGAUACGGGCAGGCUAGAGUUCGGUAGGGGAGAUCGGAAUUCCUGGUGUAGCGGUGAAAUGCGCAGAUAUCAGGAGGAACACCGGUGGCGAAGGCGGAUCUCUGGGCCGAUACUGACGCUGAGGAGCGAAAGCGUGGGGAGCGAACAGGAUUAGAUACCCUGGUAGUCCACGCCGUAAACGGUGGGCACUAGGUGUGGGCAACAUUCCACGUUGUCCA
rnacentral:rRNA from 1 species